GCUCUGCCCACACGCACACCCUUACACACCUGCAUAGGGUAGUAUACCAGGGUCCUGUGGCCACUGCAGUUGAGUAGGGUUGAGAUCAUCCAUCCCCCAGGCUUGCUUGGGAAAUGGGAGCCAUCAAGGCUGGAAAGGAAAGAAAAAAGAAAGCGGGGAAUUUGAGACAACUCGCUCGUCUAGAACAUGCUGAUAGACCACGUGAUUCCUAAAGUCUCCUGAGACUUUGUAUUGAGGAUCCCAUGGACAAAGGAGCCUGCAGGCAGACAUGGGGUUGCAAAAAAACUGGGCCUGACCUAGCGACUAAACAACAGCAAGAAGAGGAAGAGACUUUGCCCAGCAACUGUACUCAUCAGAGCCUGGAUUGCAGGCUGCCAGCUUCCAGAGCCAUGAGAAACGAAGACGUGCUGCUUAAACCACUCCAUCUACAGCAUACUGUCAUACCAGCCUGAGCAGACUUACAGUCUUAACAUAAUUGAAUUUCCCAGAAAUGCAACUGCUGUGUAAAUUGAGUGAAGCUUAUGCUUUGUUUUGUUCAGAACUUUACCAUGAGUUCUUCUCCACUCUGGAAACACACAUCAGUAACACCACUCGUGAUGUCUGAGUCAGUGAGAGAUCACACCUGUUUCAACUUGUAUGACAGCCGUGGCUUUUGUGGCUGAUCCCUUGGAAUGUGGAGGCUCACCGAAUCUACUUAUUUGCCCUGGCUUCUAAGACCCAUGCGAGAGGGAGCCAAGGUGGGGCACCCUCCGCUAUUCAAGCAGGCACUGGUGGCCUAAUGUAGAUGGUGCAAGUUCCUUGUCUUGGAACGUUAUUGGUUUUCCACGUAAACCAAGUUAGUCAG
ensembl:lncRNA